GCUUUGAUCUCACUUGAAGCCCGCCAAUUUGAUCUUGAUAAACAAUUGUUAUGCAACUCAUGUCUGUGUGCCUGCCUAGCCCUUCCACUUCGUUUUUUUCUACGUCCUCUGGAGGUGAGUAGUUGAUUAUUCUCAAAUACCCAUGGCAGUUUUUGAACUCAGAUUCAUAAAAUUUCUUCUGCAAAUCUUCCCCCAAGCUCGUAAGAACAAUCUUAACAAUUGUUCUUGAUAGCUCUGUCAUUUUGUUUCCAUAUUCUUUCAAUGUCUGACUGGUAAGAAAUAUAAACAUAUACAUCAAUAUUAAAAGCGCAAGCUCACUCUUAAUUAAUAUACAAAAAGACAUGGAGUACAUAUCUUUUUUUUUUUUUUUCCAUAUUGCAUGAAUAUAAACUAAACCUUAUAUAUAUAUACACAUAUAUAUAUAAACAAAAAAGUACAUAGAAAACUUUAAAAUAGUGGGAUUUUAAAGAUUUAUUUUAUAAUAUUAUUAAACCCUACAGUUUCAAAGUUUUUCCGAAUUUUUUUAUACUUUAAGAUCUCAGAUAAAAAAACUAUUAUAUAUGUGUGUGUAGGCUGUUUAACUAGUAAAAUCUCUUGAGUUAAAAUAAGAGGUCUGAUGUUUAAACCUUACUCACAUAAAUGGAGAGGAAUAUGCUUAGAUAAAAAAAUAAAUAAAAUAACUGCUUCCGCCUUAAUAUGAAUGAGAUUCAAACUCGGACUUAAAAAAAUUUACCAAUAAAAUCAACUACAACCACGACAAUUUUUUCAAUCUUUGCAUUUGCAUGCAAUGAAUUUAUCAUACAAUGAAUGUUAUCAUAGUUAAUAUACAUAUAUAUUCUAACGCAUUGGAAAGAAAAUUAUUGGGUCCAUUUGACUAAUAAAAGAUAACGUGCGUUUACCUUAAUUCUGAAGGUGGCUCGUCGAAGAGAACAUCCACUGUAGCUUUUGCAGAAGCAAAGAAGUCGGGUCCGGAUACUCGAAUGCUCUCAAAGAAAGGGGAAGCGAUGAAAUGCGGAGUGUAGGUUUUU
rnacentral:lncRNA from 1 species